ACUUGACCUACAUAUGGAAGAAGGAUGAUGAAGGGGUAUCUCGCCAUGAAAGGAGUACAUGCUGCAGAGACACGAAUUGGAUCAGGGCUCAGAACUAUGCAUCAGCCUUACCAUGAAACAAGACGUCAGGGUGCCCGCAAUCUCCACCCCAUACCAUAUCAAGCUUGGGUCACAAGGUUCAUAUGGACCAAAAUGAAAAACUGGCUUCAGCAAAAAGGAGAUGCCCUUCAUUAACAGCAUGGCAGUGGGCCUGAUGGCAUACAGCUCCUAGAUCGCUGCCCUUUAUUUAACCCUCAGCAGCCUGACUAGUGUGGGCUUUGGCAAUGUCAGUUCCAACACGAUGCUGAGACGAUCAUCUGCACCAUGCUUGUUGGCGGUAUGUCAGGGUACACUGUCCCUCUGGCACAACAGGGCCUCUGUUCAGC